UACGAAGGGGGCUAGCGUUGUUCGGAAUUACGUGGGCGUAAAGCGCGCGCAGGCGGUCUUCCAAGUCAGUGGUGAAAGCCCGGAGCUCAACUCCGGAACUGCCAUUGAAACUGUUGGACUUGAGUAGAGAGAGGUGAGUGGAAUUCCCAAUGUAGAGGUGAAAAUUCGUAGAUAUUGGGAAGAACACCGGUGGCGAAGGCGGCUCACUGG
rnacentral:rRNA from 1 species